AGUUCAAUCCUUAAUUAGCUGCAGGUAAGAUGUUUUUAACAUUGCAAUUGGUUCAGGAAAUGCUAACAUGAGGAAAAGAUGAUGUGGGUUCAGACACCCCCUGCAUGGUGAAAGAUUUUCCACUUCCAGUUUGCCCAUAGGCAAAAAUCGUGCCAUUGUAUCCCUCAGUAACACCCUGCAUAAAUACAUCUGUGUUAAAGGAUCCAACCACAGUUGCGAUUUUCAUGCAAUCAUGAGCACUGGCACCGGUGGACAUCCAUGGACAGAACCAUCUUACAGCCGAGAGUCUUCUCCCUGUCAUCCAGCGGCCUGCAUCUUGCCACCAC